GAAACGCGAUAGUUAAUGUGAAUUGCAGAAUUCAGUGAAUCAUCGAGUCUUUGAACGCACAUUGCGCCCCUCGGCAUUCCGUGGGGCAUGCCUGUUCGAGCGUCAUCUACACCCUCAAGCUCUGCUUGGUGUUGGGCGUCUGUCCCGCCUCCGCGCGCGGACUCGCCCCAAAUGCAUUGGCAGCGGUUCCUUGCCCCCCUCUUUGCGCAGCACAUUGCCAUUCGAGGCGGCGGCGGCCCGCGUCCAACAAGCUCAACCCCCCCGUCUUUGACCUCGGAUCAGGUAGGGAUACCCGCUGAACUUAAGC
rnacentral:misc_RNA from 1 species